CGCUGAGUUUGAUCCUGGCUCAGGAUGAACGCUAGCGGCAGGCUUAACACAUGCAAGUCGAGGGGUAUAGGUUCUUCGGAAUUAGAGACCGGCGCGACGGGUGCGUAACGCGUAUGCAAUCUACCUUUCACAGAGGGAUAGCCCAGAGAAAUUUGGAUUAAUACCUCAUAGUAUAACACAGCCGCAUGGUUGAGUUAUUAAAGUCACAACGGUGAAAGAUGAGCAUGCGUCCCAUUAGCUAGUUGGUAAGGUAACGGC
rnacentral:rRNA from 1 species